rnacentral:rRNA from 1 species
UACGAAGGGGGCUAGCGUUGCUCGGAAUCACUGGGCGUAAAGGGCGCGUAGGCGGCGUUUUUAAGUCGGGGGUGAAAGCCUGUGGCUCAACCACAGAAUGGCCUUCGAUACUGGGACGCUUGAGUAUGGUAGAGGUUGGUGGAACUGCGAGUGUAGAGGUGAAAUUCGUAGAUAUUCGCAAGAACACCCGUGGCGAAGGCGGCACUCUGGGACGGUACUGACGCUGAGACGCGAAAGCGUGGGGAGCGAACAGA